UAUGGGACCAGGCCGGGCUGCUAGCGGUAGCCUGUAACCGCAAAUCCGCUUUAUGGCGGGGCCGCAAGCCCCUGGGCGGCAGCUGCCUGCCAGGCGAGCCCUCCCAUCCGACGGCGAUGCCCUGUCCCGCAGGGUGGCGGCCGGCGUGAACCAGGUCAGGGACGGAAUGCAUGCCCCCUUGCAGGGGACGUGCCCGAAAGUCAGCAGCCUUAAGCGACGGUCACCGUGCUUGCGGGGGCGCAGGGCGGAGAAGGAUGGAAGGACCACUGGCCUGGCGGGGAACUGUCAACCAGGGGCGGUCCCUUC
rnacentral:SRP_RNA from 1 species